rnacentral:rRNA from 1 species
AGCAGCCGCGGUAAUUCCAGCUCCAAUAGCGUAUAUUAAAGUUGUUGCAGUUAAAAAGCUCGUAGUUGAAUUUCGAGAUCGGCUUACUGGUCGUGCUUUUGUACGUACUGUUAAAUCGGUUUCUCCUUUCUGACGAACUUUAAUGCCACUAAUUUGGUGUUUUAGGGAAUCAGGACUGUUACUUUGAAAAAAUUAGAGUGUUUAAAGCAGGCUCACGCUUGAAUACAUUAGCAUGGAAUAACGGAAUAGGACGUUUGAUUCUAUUUUGUUGGUUUCUAGGAUCGACGUAAUGAUUAAUAGGGAUAGUUGGGGGCAUUAGUAUUCAAUUGUCAGAGGUGAAAUUCUUGGAUUUAUUGAAGACUAACUACUGCGAAAGCAUUUGCCAAGGAUGUUUUCAUUAAUCAAGAACGAAAGUUAGGGGAUCGAAGACGAUCAGAUACCGUCGUAGUCUUAACCAUAAACCUAUGCCGACUAGGGAUCGGAUGAUGUUAAUUUUUUAAUGACUCAUUCGGCGCCUUAC